GGCGGCGUAGCUCAGUGGCAGAGCACUCGGCUCAUAAUCGAGUUGUCGGUGGUUCGAUCCCACCCGCCGCUA
rnacentral:tRNA from 1 species